rnacentral:tRNA from 1 species
GAGGUUGUGACUCAAUGGUAGAGUACUUGCCUAGACAUGCAAGGCCCUGGGUUAAAUCCUCAGCACCACA